rnacentral:rRNA from 1 species
UACGGGGGGGGCAAGCGUUGUUCGGAAUUACUGGGCGUAAAGGGCUCGUAGGCGGCCAACUAAGUCAGACGUGAAAUCCCUCGGCUUAACUGGGGAACUGCGUCUGAUACUGGAUGGCUUGAGUUCGGGAGAGGGAUGCGGAAUUCCAGGUGUAGCGGUGAAAUGCGUAGAUAUCUGGAGGAACACCGGUGGCGAAGGCGGCAUCCUGGACCGACACUGACGCUGAGGAGCGAAAGCCAGGGGAGCAAACGGG